AGUGAAGAGUCAGACGCUGUUCUUCUGAAGUUUCACAACUUUUCUGCAUCAGGAUUAAAGUCAGAAUGAAAAUCCUCCAUUUUCUCUUCUUCUGCUUCUUGUCAGGUCCAGCUGGGCUCGUCAAGGCAAAACAUAAUAUUUGGUCUGCAGCUGAAGGACUAAAUGCUACACUUAACUGCAACUUACCUUUGUCUGGAACCACAAAGUUCUUCUGUAAGGAAAAAUGUGAGCGAGAUGAAGAUAUCCUCAUUAAAACAGAUGGAAGCACAGCUCAGAGUGGGAGAUACAGCAUGAAGUAUAAAAAUGGAGCUUCAGGAAGAGGAAUUGUGUUUUUGACCUUCUCACAAAUGAUCAAGUCUGACUCAGGAAUGUACAGGUGUGCUUUGGGAAGACCUUCUGCUCCAGAUUCAUACUCAGACUUCGAGAUGAGAGUUUCAAAGGAUCUAGAUAAAAACGUUGGUUUUUAUCGCACACAAACUGAGGGCGAAAAGAUCACAUUGGUAUUUUCCAACAACACGUAUGGACACAGGAAGUUCUUUUGUAAGAAUCAGUGUAAGAAUGAAGGGGAGAUCCUCAUUGACACAACUAAUAACAAAUCUGCGAGUGGCAGAUACAGCAUUGAAUACAGACCAAGAUCCAUGUAUGGACUGUAUGCAACCAUCAUACAGCUGACCAAGUCAGACACAGGACGAUACAGGUGUGGUUAUGGAAACCCUCUGUCUCCAGAUUUAUACAGCAGUGUAAAUGUUCUCGUCAUUGAUGGUAAGUAUCUUUUCAGAAUAGUAAAAACUUUUUUCAUAUUUCAUGUAGCUUAAAAUACUACUAAUAAUAGAUAAUCACAACUCAGAAAGUAAGGUAAACAAAAUUAGAACAACAACAAAUAAAAACAUGAAACUUUUGGUGAUUUGAGGUGAGAUUGUUGUUACUGCCAGAGAUCAGCUGAUGUUUGAGACAUCAUUAAAUAUUUCUAACAUCAAAAACAGGACAAAUAAUGUCCAUACUUUUCUGGAUGUCCGAUCUCAGAGUAUUAAUUUCCUGUUGUGCUGAUAAAUUUAUUCCUGUUUAUUCACAAAUAUAAACCAUAUUUGUUAUGAUGCUUUUAAAAAUAUACAGAUAUUUAAAUAUAGUAAGUUUCACAGUCAUAAUGUGCACUGAGGAUUUUUAAUCAGAGCACAUAUUAUAUAUGAAACAUCAUUUUUUAUAUUAUUAAAAGUUUUUUAACAAUUUGAAAUCUAAGGUUAUGUGUGUUUAAGAAGUGUGUGCUCUACUUUGAAUCAUUUUUUAAAGUUGUGAUUGUGGAGCUAAAAUUGAGGGGAAAACAUCAUCAUCAUCAUCUUUCACUAAAGCUGAGUGUUUCUACUCAUACAGGUGAAAACAUAUGUAGUGUGCAGGAUAUGAGAUUCCCCAGUCUAAUGUGUAAAAGAGUAUUAGCUUAUCCAUCAGCUGAUCUGAUGAGACUGAACGUGACUUUGUGGUUUAUCUGAAAAAGUAAUAAUGAUGUAAAGAACAGGAAAGCAGGCAGCUGAGUGAUUACAGAUCUUCCCUAUUGAACUUACACAUAAGCUUCAUGUUAAUGCUGCAUUUAGUGAAUGUGAGAGUGAAUGAAUAAUGGCAUUGUAAAGCGCUUUGGGUGCCUUGAAAAGCGCUAUAUGAAAUCCAAUCCAUUAUUAUUAUAUUUUUGUGUUUGUUGUUCACAGAUUCAAACCCACCUGCUUCCACACCACAAACAGCAACACAGAGUGAAAGUGUCACUGCAGGAGUCUCUACACAUGGUCCUGACUCCUCCUGGCUUCUGGUUGUGCGUGCGUCCUUGGAUGGUGUUUUGCUGAUGGCUGUUUUCCUCAUGCUCUUCUACAUUAGUAAGACAAGGAGGAACUUUGGACUGAACACCAGAGAAAAUGACACAAACAUGGAGGUGAGUUUGUGUCACUUGUUUUCUGUCUGUUGUUGCAGGUUUCAGUGAGUGUUGUUGAUUCAUGCUGUCAGUUUGACUUUCUCAGUGAAAUGUAGUGAAAAGAGGUGAUGUUACCUGUUAUUAAAGUUUCCUUAAUAAUACCAUCUUCACCAGCAGAGGGAAGUGAAGACAAAGUGAACAAUAUUUAGACCAGACAGAAAUAUUUUCUAUAAUUAUGUAGAUAUAAAACCAUACAACAUAUUUUAUGGUCCUUUAAGGUUAUUCCACAGCAUCAUAAUUUCAUGAUGUCAUAUCUAAAAGUGUGAAAGCACCUUUAGUUCUGUUUCCUGACACUGCAGCACAUGUAAGCUGCUCUGAAGCAAAUCUGUUGAACUUCUUAUGAUAUUUAUAAUGUUACAUGUUUUUGUUUGUUUGUUUCUCUGGAAUAAACUUUGUGCUUCUUAUUG
ensembl:lncRNA